GAUGAACGCUGGCGGCGUGCCUAAUACAUGCAAGUCGAGCGAACGGACGAGAAGCUUGCUUCUCUGAUGUUAGCGGCGGACGGGUGAGUAACACGUGGAUAACCUACCUAUAAGACUGGGAUAACUUCGGGAAACCGGAGCUAAUACCGGAUAAUAUUUUGAACCGCAUGGUUCAAAAGUGAAAGACGGUCUUGCUGUCACUUAUAGAUGGAUCCGCGCUGCAUUAGCUAGUUGGUAAGGUAACGGCUUACCAAGGCAACGAUGCAUAGCCGACCUGAGAGGGUGAUCGGCCACACUGGAACUGAGACACGGUCCAGACUCCUACGGGAGGCAGCAGUAGGGAAUCUUCCGCAAUGGGCGAAAGCCUGACGGAGCAACGCCGCGUGAGUGAUGAAGGUCUUCGGAUCGUAAAACUCUGUUAUUAGGGAAGAACAUAUGUGUAAGUAACUGUGCACAUCUUGACGGUACCUAAUCAGAAAGCCACGGCUAACUACGUGCCAGCAGCCGCGGUAAUACGUAGGUGGCAAGCGUUAUCCGGAAUUAUUGGGCGUAAAGCGCGCGUAGGCGGUUUUUUAAGUCUGAUGUGAAAGCCCACGGCUCAACCGUGGAGGGUCAUUGGAAACUGGAAAACUUGAGUGCAGAAGAGGAAAGUGGAAUUCCAUGUGUAGCGGUGAAAUGCGCAGAGAUAUGGAGGAACACCAGUGGCGAAGGCGACUUUCUGGUCUGUAACUGACGCUGAUGUGCGAAAGCGUGGGGAUCAAACAGGAUUAGAUACCCUGGUAGUCCACGCCGUAAACGAUGAGUGCUAAGUGUUAGGGGGUUUCCGCCCCCUAGUGCUGCAGCUAACGCAUUAAGCACUCCGCCUGGGGAGUACGACCGCAAGGUUGAAACUCAAAGGAAUUGACGGGGACCCGCACAAGCGGUGGAGCAUGUGGUUUAAUUCGAAGCAACGCGAAGAACCUUACCAAAUCUUGACAUCCUUUGACAACUCUAGAGAUAGAGCCUUCCCCUUCGGGGGACAAAGUGACAGGUGGUGCAUGGUUGUCGUCAGCUCGUGUCGUGAGAUGUUGGGUUAAGUCCCGCAACGAGCGCAACCCUUAAGCUUAGUUGCCAUCAUUAAGUUGGGCACUCUAAGUUGACUGCCGGUGACAAACCGGAGGAAGGUGGGGAUGACGUCAAAUCAUCAUGUCCCUUAUGAUUUGGGCUACACACGUGCUACAAUGGACAAUACAAAGGGCAGCGAAACCGCGAGGUCAAGCAAAUCCCAUAAAGUUGUUCUCAGUUCGGAUUGUAGUCUGCAACUCGACUACAUGAAACUGGAAUCGCUAGUAAUCGUAGAUCAGCAUGCUACGGUGAAUACGUUCCCGGGUCU
rnacentral:rRNA from 1 species